rnacentral:misc_RNA from 1 species
UGGUUCCGGCAUCGAUGAAGAACGCAGCGAAAUGCGAUAAUUAAUGUGAAUUGCAGAAUUCAGUGAAUCAUCGAGUCUUUGAACGCACAUUGCGCCCCCUGGUAUUCCGGGGGGCAUGCCUGUCCGAGCGUCAUUGCUGCCCUCAAGCCCGGCUUGUGUGUUGGGCCCUGCUCCCCCGGGGGCAGGCCCGAAAGGCAGUGGCGGCACCGCGUCCGAUCCUCGAGCGUAUGGGGCUUUGUCACCCGCUCUGUAGGCCCGGCCGGCGCUUGCCGACCCCCAUCAAUCUUUUUUCAGGUUGACCUCGGAUCAGGUAGGGAUACCCGCUGA